rnacentral:rRNA from 1 species
GAGAUCGGGAUAACACCUGGAAACAGAUGCUAAUACCGGAUGACAACAGAUGAUGCCUAUCAACUGUUUAAAAGAUGGUUCUGCUAUCACUCUUGGAUGGACCUGCGGUGCAUUAGCUAGUUGGUAGGGUAACGGCCUACCAAGGCGAUGAUGCAUAGCCGAGUUGAGAGACUGAUCGGCCACAUUGGGACUGAGACACGGCCCAAACUCCUACGGGAGGCAGCAGCC